rnacentral:lncRNA from 1 species
GAGCAUAGCACGUAGCAUAUUAUCAUCUUUUAGAGGGGUAGAGCCCUGUAAUUGGCACAGUAGACUUUUAUAUUAUUUUCAAAUUAAGUUUUAAGGAAUUCUCUUUAUUUGCUAAGUUUGUAUGUGUGUGAAGCAUAUAUAUUUGAAUGUCUGAAUUUCUUUGGAAGAUCCUUGAUUUAUUUCACACAGAAAUUUUGUGCUCCGUUCUCAAAUCUAUGACGUAUGCCCUAUGUUCCAGUACUUUGCUUUGUACAAUUUCCUGUAAACAGCUGUAGGCAACUUCAAUAUACGCUGGCUGGUUGGUUCAGUGUUCUUGCAGUACUUACAAUGGACAUUUCUGAGCAUAACUAAUCUCUUUUUUUUUUUAUUUUGGUCCUAUUCGCAUCAGCACCAAUCCAGUGCUUUGAAAUGAAUUCAAAUACUGUGCUCUCUGAAGGGAUGAGGAUUAAAGCUUAAGCUGGGUCCAGGGAUGAGGUGAGAGGAAAAAACCCUCACAAAUCCGAUGCUUUUUUUCCUCCUAAGAAGUGAAAAGCAAUGAGCUGUACUAUAUAAAAGAAAGGAAACGGUUGCGUUUCAUCCUUUCCAAAGACCUCAAAAGCUACUAGAUUAUCAUUAAAAAAUAAACACAUUUUCAAAGGCCAUUAGCCCGAGGGGAGGUCCUGAGUCGUCCAAAGGUUCUCCAGCGGGCAAACAAGAAAGACAGCACUCCUGCCCCGAUCCGUACACACUGGAGCAUCCAGUGGAAAGGGCUUCAUGGAUGACGACCUGCUGGAAGUUGGCCGACAGCUGAAAGGAAGAACGACCCUGUUCAGUCCUGCUCAUUAUGCCUGCCAGAGAUCAAGAACACCUUGACCAAUCAGGAGAGGGGAUCUUCAUACAAGGAAAGGGGACUUUUGUACAAGGAGAGGGGACCUUUAUUCACCUUCCUGUACUCUUUCUUCCAAGCUAGUUUUUAACUUCAGGAAAGUAUCACUCUUCUGUGGCUGCUUAAUAUUUAAUUGGCUAUGUAAUGUGGCUAUGUAAUAUUUAAAUGUAGCCAAGUGUUUAGGGAUGAAGGUCUCUGACUCUGCCCCUCACCACACUUGGGACCUUAGGAAAGUUAUUUAACUUCUUUAACCAUCAUUUGUAAACUAUGUUUGUUGGAAAGAAUAAUUCUGUUUUUAAUGUAUAAAGUACAUAGUAUGGGACCUAUAAUAUAAGAGGUGUUCAAUAAAAAGUUAUUGUUAUCGUUACUAAGAUUUUUUUAUACUUAACCACAUAGAAAUGUCAUGUUGUCUGAUUUGUUCACUGCUGUAUCCCCUGGGCCAGUGCCUGAUGUUUAGUAGAUACUACUAAAUAAAUGCUAAAUUGCUACUCAAUAAAUAUUUGUCUGAAUGAAGGCAUGAGGGAAUGAAUGAAUGCAUUCAAGAAAAUGGGUUUCUCACCGUAUAUGGUAUGAAAGCAUACUGCGCAGGGAGUCCAGAAUCUUGGAUUCUGGCUCUGACUGGGCCUUCUGCAAACUGGUCUCCUAUGUGGACUAAAUUUUUCCACCUCUGAGCCUUAUUUUCCUAAUCUUUAAAACCUAUCUUGCAGAGCUGUAACAGUCUUCAAAUAUAAGGUUAUUUGGGGGAGAGCAAUCCCAUGUUUAUACAUAGGAGGAAUUUAAUUGCUCCUUACCCCCCAUGUACUCACAAUCAAGGGUUUAUGUCAACUUUACCUCAGGAAAAUUAGGUUCUAUACGGAAUAGAUUUUUUAAAAAAUUGUCAUUGAAAUAAAUUCCCAAUUAGGAGAAUAUUUUAUCUAGAGAUGGGAAGCAAUGAAGAGACUAAUAGAAUUAGGGUCCACCUUCUUUUAGGGUGUAUGCGAAGGAAAUGGGGAAGGACAUCAGCUGCCGCCUUUCUGUCCUUGCCCUCAGGUUAGUGUUUGAGUUAAGGAACAAGAAAUGAAACAGGGGCUGGCCCCAUGGCCGAGUACUUAAGCUCAUGUGCUCCGCUUCAGCAGCCCGGGGCUUUGCCAGUUCGGAUCCUGGGUGCCAACCUACACACCUCUCAUCAGGCCAUGCUGAGGCAGUGUCCCACAUAGUGGAGCCAACCGGACCUACAACUAGAGUAUGCAACCAUGUCCUGGGAGCUUUGGAGAGAAGAAGGAAAAAAAAAGAAAGAAGUUUGGCAACAGAUGUUAGCUCAGGUGCCGAUCUUUAAAAAAAAAAAAGAAAUGAAACAGACUUUGCAUUUUUCAUGUUUAGCCAAGCUCUUCUGGUUUGCAUAGUCAUAAUACAAUUCAGGGGCUGCCCCGUGGCCAAGUUGUUAAGUUCACACACUCCACUUUAGCAGCCAGGAUUUGCCAGUUCAAAUCCUGGGCAUGUACCUAGUACUGCUCAUCAAGCCAUGCUGUGGUGGCAUCUCACCUAGAAGAACUAGAAUUACCUACAACUAGGAUCUACAACUAUGUACUGGGGCUUUGGGAAGGAAAAAGAAAAAAAGGAAGAUUGGCAACAAAUGUUAGCUUAGGGCCAAUCUUCCUCACUAAAAAAAAGAAAACAAUUAAUAAUAAUAAUAAUAUAAUUCAAAUAACCAUUUUUGAAGUUUUAAUAUUCAGUGUCCUAACUUUGUCUCAGCUAGGAAAAAUGAAUAGCUGAUGUUUUGUACUUUGUAUUUGUAAAUACAUUACAAUGUGGAGACCAGUGAAUUCCCUAAAGCCUUUAAAUAUUUUAAACGUGUAUCUACUAAACUGUUUUAUAGCUUUCUAGGAUUUUUUAAAAAUAUUUUUGACAUCCAAUAAGAUGAUAAGACAAUAUAGUAAAACCAUAUUGGUUUAAAUUCCCUUGAUUGUAUUUUCUAAUGACUACUCUCAAGAUUUCUCUUAUGUGUUGAUCACUUGUUCAAUAGAUUCUCAAUGGGUACUUUUGACUGAUUAAUGUAUAACUUGACCAGGUGCAUUUUUUUUGGUAAAGCCCACCUUGAAAUAUAGUGCAAAUAGUUUGUGCAAGUAAGAUUGGGAAAAAAGAAUGUUAAAAAUACUAAACAAACCAAACUUUAGAAGUAACUCUUCGCACACAAAUAUUUCGCACAUUGAAAUAUCCUGGACCCACAUUAAUAUCCCUUCCAUACACUUCCGUUCCAUGGGGCAUCUUCAGCAUAAGCUCUUGACUGGCCUGGCCCAUUUGUUCCAUCCAUCUCUCUUGAGUUUUGGUGUUUGUCCUUCAUGCCCCUCCUGCCCUUUACCAUCAAGUUUGCAAUCCUCAUAGAGCGUCUUUGUAUUUGUACUCCUGCCCAAGUUUAUGUGUAAGUUGCUGUCUCAUUCCUUGUCUACAUAGCAUAGAGAGAGAGAAGUGUUUUUUUCCAACGUUUUUUCCAAUAAUUUUUUCCAACUAUUUUUCCAAGAAAUAGUUGAGUGUUUAAUGAAGACACUGCUGUUUAAUGUGUUGUCUGCAAUAAUUUUUAUUCUAUUAGUAGGUGAAUUGAAUAGACCAGACAAUAACAUUUUCAUUGUUAACUUUGUAACACAACGAGUAGUAUCUGACAGUUUGUAACACAGCAAUAAAGUAAGAAAACUCAAAAGCAGUCUCUCAAAGUUCAUCAUCAGGCAAUAAUCUCUUCCUCCACCCCUCUCACAGCUCCCUGGAACAAUAACAGAAUACAUUUUUAAAAUGUCAUUGGUACCUAUGAGCCAACUUCUAUUUUCUCUCUACCAACCCUCUGCUCCCUGCCAGUCUGGGUUGGGUCCCAUACCUAUACAUUCACAGAGUACUCUGUUCUUACCUUCAUCCUAGAAUAUGUGACACUAUUUUUCAAGCCCACCGUCCAUUAUCUGCAAUUCCAAAAUCCAAAAACCUCUGAAAACCAAAAGUUUAUUUUACAAUUGGUGCCAAAACUUAUUUGGCAGCAAAGCCUGAUCUGAACUGACAUGAGGCUAUUUAUAAUGUUAUCUUUUACUACAGAAAUGUUGCUGUAUUUGUUUAUAAGAUGCCGCUCCAGGUUCUAUCACGGGUGUUACAUAUUAAAUGUAACAGGUAUUGUUUUACCUUUCUAGAAACCUACAAAUAGUGUUGGUUCUGAAACAUUUGUAGCCCAAGUGCUUUGGAUGAAGACAUGCAGAGCUGUGCUGUCACCUGCUUGCUAGUCUGCACGCCCCACCAGAGGGUGAAGUCUCUAGAGUCAGUAAUUCUGUAAACCUACGUAGCCUCUAGUGGGUCAAAACAAACACAGAACCAAGGAAUAAACAAAGGAAUAUUCACUGUCAAUUUAGCAUAUUUAAAUUUAUCAGCUUCUCUCUGUUCUUGUUGUUAAAGUGUUGCUACUUUGAGAAAGAAGAUCCGGGGCUAACAGUCCGUUUUUUUUUUUCACUGAGGAAGAUUGUCCCUGAGCUAACAUCUGUGCCAAUCUUCCUCUCUUUUGUAUGUGGGUCACUGCCACAGCAUGGCCACCAAUGAGUGGUGUAUGUCUACGCCCAGGAUUCGAACCUGCAAGCCUGAGCUGCCAAAGCAGAGUGCACUGAACUUAACCACUAGGCCAUGGGGCCAGUCCCUAACAGUCCUCUUUUUAACUGAAAACAUAAAUAUUUGGCGAGAUUGAAAAAUCCGUGACAGAACCAAGAAUAAUAUCAUGUUUCCUGGUUUUUAGAUUUGUGUUUUCUUACCCAGAUAAGACCAAUAUUGUUAAUGCCAGAUACUCAAAGCCAAAGGAACAACUUUUUAAAAAUCUUCCUUAAAAAAAGUAAUUUGAAAUCUUACUAGUUAAAAACUUGAAAAAAUUAUCAUAAUGUAGGCAAGGACAGAAUGAAAUGGACAUUCUCAAACAAUGCCAGUAAGAGUAAGGAUUGUUAGAAUCUUUCUAGAAAGCACUUCACAAAACAGAUCAAGAAAGUUAAAAGUUUACAUCUGUAAUAGAAUGAUGGAGAAUAUUUAGCACACAGUACCUAUGAAACAUUUGUGUUCUAGAGGCAUAUCACUUUGAUUAUUCAGAAGAUUCUAUCAAAUGAGUUACUUUCUCUGAAAGCAGCCAGUAUUCAGUUUUGUAAGGCCUGCUAUGAUAAUAUUUUUACAUGAAAAGUUUUUCAGGCUUUCUUUUGUUCAAACAUUCUUUUUAAUCAUUAGAGUUCCUAUUCUACCAUGCUUGAACAUCUCUCUUAUGUAAUAUCCUUUGUUAGUUUGGGCUAAUAAUUCUAUUACUAUAUUACAACUCUAGUAAUUUUUGAAAACCCUGCCCAAACAAUAUGGGCAAUGCAUAGUAAACUUCAUAUUUGUAUUAAACAAAGUUCACACAGAAAAAAAGAAACUACUUUAUGUAGACUAAGUAUGAAGGAUUUUAAUAUGGGAAUUAGAGGCUUCCACAGUCAUUAGAAGGCUUGGGAGAUUAAAGAUCAGGGAAGCUGUUGCCAAUAAUCUCAGUUUGCAUUGCCAAGGUGAUUGGCUCUGAGAACUUUCUUGGAAGCCUCUGUUUCUCUCAAGAAACUCUAGGAAGCUCCUACCAGCUGUAUAAGCUCGCAGCACCAAACAAAUAAUUUCAAGCAGCCACCACUAGCCAUCUCAAUUGUCUAGAGGACCAAAGAAGGUAACCUGCUGGAACUCAUCCAGAAGCACUGUGAAGCUCAUGUCUCCUGUCGGCUCACACAUCUAUCUGUCACUGCCCUGGGAGAACAGCUUCUGCUCCUCCGCUUUCCGACGUCACAUAAGUGCCUGUUGCUGGCAGGGUCUAAUCUGGAACCAUCUAGGAAAUGGGGUUCUGGGAACUAUAGCUCUCAGUUUCUCCUCUGAGAUGCACAGAUCAUAAAAAGGAAAGCAGUGAUGCCAAGUUGACGACAGACAAUCAUGUUUGUUUCAGUGUUGAUGACAACCGCUUAAUAGUUUUCUUUAUUGAUUUUCCAUUCUAUUAGUAUUCUUUCAGUCAAAUUCACUGUUAUUAGUUGACUGAGCCAAGAAAUCUGUCAGCAAGCAAGUAAAGCAGGAGUAUAAUUGAAUUCAUCCUCGACCCACCGUGUCGUCCGUUAAAAAUUAUUGCUAGUUGGUUCUUCAUUCCAGAAUGUCUGAGGCACAAGAAGCUAAAGGAACACAUUUAAUACUAACAUUGACCUUUCUAUGUAAGACAGUAUACAAUUAAGAAAACAGUUUUCACUGAUACGUUUUCUAGAAGGAACUUUGUACCUAGGACUUAGCCUUGGGAAAAGUCUCUAAUGUUCUUCAUCAGCUAAAGAAAGGACAAAUUGUUGGCAGGAUUCUUGUUUAAACUUGUGGCCUCCAUGUACUCAAACUCAAAUUAGUAAUAGACUUCUUUAAAAACUUGUAAAUGUAUUCUGAAUACUUGAUACUUCUCUAAUUCUUUCAACUUUUCUUUGUAUGUUUUUGAUUUUGGCUCAAAGAUAACAUGUUUAUUGUGCAUACGUUUGUAGCUUUCUCUGUCUUUGGAGGAAAUUUUGAGGGAGUAAAAUUUUAUUUUCUAAAACAUCCUCUCAAGAUAUGAAAAAUACCAAACAGGACUUUUUCAUAAAACACUCAUAGCUUAAAUUGAUAAAACAACAAGAAUUUUAUUAAAGUUAGAAUGCCAGUACACAAAUACUGUUAUAAAGAUUAGAGUUAGAAUAUUACAUCUAUUAUGCUACCUUGCAUUAUAAUUCAAAAUUUUGUAAAUAUUUGUUGGUUCAAAAGAGACACAAUAUUCUCCUUUGUGUCAUCUAAUUCAUUCUCUCUUGAUAUUCAGUUUAUGGAAUUUGAUGUCCUUUUAUUUCAUCUCGCACAUUUUCAUCAGGUGUCAAUUUAUUAAACUAUUUUUAUCUAUUUACAAGUUAUUAGUAAUUAUAUAUAAAAACAAGUUUUCACAGUCAUUUUUUAUUUCAGCAUUUUACUAUUGAAAUAAUAAAUACGUAAGUAUAUUUCAAAUGACAUUGAAGUAGGUAUUAAUCAGCAAGGCAGUCCAGAAAAAUGAAUCUAGCAGGACUGAACUAAAUGGCCUAGAAGGAAAUAGGCUUAAGGCAGUUAUAUUGGCUCUGACUCUGUUGCCAUCAUCUAACAAGAGUUAAUGAGAUCCUCAACUAGGGAAGAAACAGAAGAAAUGGAAGGAAGGAACAACUGCAAGAUGUCACAGGGAAGGAGAGUUGCCUGGUUUUGGUAACUGAAUGUAAGAAGCAAGAAGCAAGAGAGAUUAUCAAAGAUUAUUCUUAGAUAUUUUAGAUAGGAGAUAAUAUGGGUGUGAGAGAAAGAGGUGCUGAGAUGGUACUGGAGAGUAUAGAGAAGGCCAAGGACAAGCUUUUGGGGAAUAUCUACCCUUGAGGACUGUGUAGGAAAGUGAUAUGAAAGGAAUGAGAAAAGAAAGAUCAAAGAGAAGCCAUGGGCAAAACUUUAAGGAGACAGUGGGCAGUAAUAUUCAAUGCUGCAGAAAAGACUCUGGAUUUUGUGACUAGGAAGUCUUCCGUGACCUUUAAAAGCAUGGGUUUCCAUAGAGGAUUGUGAACAGAAACUAAAUUUAAAAGGAUUAAGGAAUAAGGGAUAAGGAAAUAUGACAGAGUAUUCUUUCAAAAAGAAUAUGUAAUCAAGUCACGAGGAGACAUGGAAGCACCAUAAAUGCAUAUUGUAAGUAAGUGAAAGAAGGCAACUUGAAAAGACUACAUACACUAUGCUUCCAACUAUAUGACAUUCUAAUAAAGGCAAAACUAUGGAGACAGUAAAAAAUAGGUGGAGCACAGGGGAUUUUUAGAGCAAGGAAACUAUUCUGUGUGAUACCAUGAUGGUGGAUACAUGUCAUUAUACAUUUGUCAAAACUCAUAGAAUAUACGACACCAGGAGUGAUUGUAAUGUAAAUUAUGGAUUCUGGAUAAUAAUGACAUGUCAGUUUAGGUUCACCCAUUGUAACAAAUGUACCACUGUAGUGCGGGAUGUUGAUAGUGGGAGAGUUCUGUGCAUGAGUGAGGGUGUGAGGUAUAUGGGAACCUUCUGUACUUUCUGCUCAGUUUUGCUAUGAAUCUAAAAUUGCUCUAAAAAUAAAGUCUAUUUUUUAAAAAGAAUGUAUAACCAUUUUUCAUUAAUAUAAAAUUCUUUAUUAUAUUCAUGUACAUAUCACUUCUAUUGCAUUAUUUUAUUGCCCUUAAAAAUGUCAACAAAGUAUAACAACUUAUCUUGGGACCUAAUGAAAUAAGUAGGCCCGCAUCAUAAUAAUGUGGUACUUUUCAGUUAAAUAUAGGAUAGAUAGGUAGAAUUAGUUACAUUUCAGAAUGACAGGAUGGUGCUGAAUUUUAUAGUAAGUAUUGUGAACGAAUAAAGAAUUAUUAGAUCUGUCUUUAAAUGUUAAUUGCAUGUUCUAGUAAUUUAUUACUGUGUCAACAAACCAUCCCAAAACUUAGUAGCUUAAAAUGAUAAUUUAUGAUUAUGGUUCACUUUUCUAGAUGUUAACAGAGCUGGACUCUUCUCAGUUGGGGGGGGGGUCCAUCAAACGGUUGCAGUCAGGUGACUGCUAAGGUUGGAGUCAUCUGGAAGCUUCUUUACUCACAUGUCCUGCUCCUGGGCUGGGAUAUCUAGAACAGCUGGGGGCUGAUGGGGCACUUCUGUCUCUUUCUUCUCUCCAUGUGGCCACUCUACAAGUCUAGCUUGGGUUUCACAGCCUGAAAACUUAAGGAGCAAGCAUUCCAAGAGUCUCAAACAGAGACUUCGAACUCUGGGAGCUGGUGCUGGAAGUUAUGCAGCAUCACUUUCACUAUAUUCUAUUUGGCAAAGUUGUCACACACCAGCCAAGAUUCAAGGGAGUAGAUACAGGGAAGGAAGACAUUGAUGGUAGCCAUCUUGGAAACAAGCUACAACAAUUUACUUGGGGGAUAUUUAUAAAUAAACACAAACAUAUAUAGAGAUAAAUAUAUCCCUAUGAAAAAAAUUUAAGAAUAAUUAUAAUGAACAUUGAAGUAUAAAGUAAGAUGUGAAGAUAAGACCGUAAUUAAGACACAAAAUAAGAUUAAAUCCCAGAGGUCUAAUCAAAGACUCUGAAUUUUUUCAGCAAUGUUUCUCAGGAGGUUGAGGACCUGAUGCCUGCACUGACUUUUGAGAUGUCUAAUCAAGCAAGUCAUUCCAAACUAUCUGGCUAUCAGAUAAUUAAUCCAGAACAUCUCUGACUUUCUCACUUAGUUCAAGAACUAAGUUCCAGAAUAUUUUUGGCCAAGGUGUCCUCUACCUUAUAUUCUCAAGGCUGCCUCUGUUUUUUUCCAGUCUGUCUCGUAGUCCUUUGGCCCUUAAAGUCCGCUGCCCACUACACUUCCAGCAGCACACUGGCAAAUCUAUUAUGUAGUCAGAUUCUGCAGCUAAUUAUCACUCAACAAGCUUGAAACUUUUUAGUACUGAGUGGUGAGGACAGAUCUUGUUUCCUUUUAUUCCCUUUACUUUAGUUAAUUUUCUUUUCUUGUAGUUUCCUCUUUGAUUCAAUUUUGGGAAGACUUUCUCUGUCUAUUAUAAUUUACUCUCCUUCUUAGGAAUGACAUUUAUAAAUAAGGUUAACAUAUAAGUUGUUAGUUUAAUUUGAUAAAACAUAUAAUCUCUACCUUAUAAAAUAUUUUGAAUGCCUCAGGAACUUUGCCUUUACUGCACACACAGGCAGAAUGGACUGAUAUUUUAAGAUUUCCUGCAACCAGAAAGGUGUGGAAAGUUUGACUGAUUUAUAUUGUGUUCUGACUUCCUGAGGCAGUUUUCCUAAUGCUAUUCCAUUUUAUUCACCAUGAAACAAAGCUUACUGUUGUUUUACUUUUUUAAAUAAAAAUUCAAUCUAGAACUGUGUAUUUCCUAUUUGGUUCUUUGUCUCUUAAGCUUAAUUUCUACGGAAUUUUAUAGUAGUAACAAUUUUAUUUUAUAAAACUUCUGUUGGGGUGAUGAUUCUGGAAGCAUUUGGGAAAAAGAAUUCAUACAGUAUGGAGGUUAAGAACAUGGCUCUGGAACUAGACUGCGUGGAUUCAAAUCCUAGUUGUGCCACUCACCAGCUCCGUGUAUUCACAGGGAAAGCUUUCUGUGCUUCAGUUUCCUGAAUUUCAAAGGGAAACUCACAGUAGUAAUUGAUACCAAACCUUUUAAUCUCAAGUUUGUGUGUCCAAUGUGCAAUGAGCCACUGAGACAUCAGUGCUUGGAGAUGGAGAAAGGUUUAUUAGAAUUGGCCAAAAUGAGAAGGUGGGAGAAUAGGUUCUCUCAAAUCUGUGUUCACAAAAGAAGAAAACAGGGAGUUCUAUGAAGCUAAGGGGCUUGGGAAGAGCAGUUUGAGAGAAACAAAGGGGAAAUCCACUUUUCUUUCACUCCAGAUAAGCUCCUGGGCAGUCAGACUUCUAAGCACUAACUACAACUGGGGGCUGGUUUUCUGGUGACCACAACUUCCUUGAAAGCGUUCUUUUUUUCUGUGAAACAAGCUCAUAAAUCCUUGUGACCCUUGAGUCACCCCUCAAGUUAAACAAGAAAAUGGCAAAUUAACAAGAUUAACUUCUUUUCAUCUGUGUCUGUGUUGGGAACAAAGUCAAAGAGUAAUCAUGUUCUUAUUGAAAACAUACAGUAACGGUCAGGUACCCAGCUUCAUAAUAACUACUUAAUAUGAUUGUUGUGAGGAUUAAAUGAGUUAGCUCAUGAAAGCAAAUAGAACAAUUCUAUAGUAAUUGAGCAAUAAGUGUUA